GCAGUCGAACGAGAACGGGUUUAAGUUUACUAAACUGUCAGCUAAGUGGCGCACGGGUGAGUAAUAUAUAGUUAAUCUGCCCCAAAGAAGAGAAUAAUUGUUGGAAACGACUUGUAAUGCUCUAUAUGCCUUUAUYACAUAAGURAGCAAGGGAAAUAUUUAUAGCUUUGGGAUGAGACUGUACGGUAUCAGCYWGUUGGUGAGGUAAUGGCUCACCAAGGCWAUGACAYCUAACUGGUUUGAGAGGAUGAUCAGUCACACUGGAACUGAGACACGGUCCAGACUCCUACGGGAGGCAGCAGUGGGGAAUAUUGCACAAUGGAGGAAACUCUGAUGCAGCAACGCCGCGUGGAGGAUGACACAUUUCGGUGCGUAAACUCCUUUUAUAUGAGAAGAUAAUGACGGUAUCAUAUGAAUAAGCACCGGCUAACUUCGUGCCAGCAGCCGCGGUAAUACGAGGGGUGCAAGCGUUACUCGGAAUCACUGGGCGUAAAGAGCAUGUAGGCGGGUAGUUAAGUUGGAAGUGAAAUCCUAUGGCUCAACCAU
rnacentral:rRNA from 1 species